UACAGAGGGUGCAAGCGUUAAUCGGAAUUACUGGGCGUAAAGCGUGCGUAGACGGUUAUUUAAGUCAGGUGUGAAAGCCCCGGGCUCAACCUGGGAAUUGCAUUUGAGACUGAAUAGCUAGGGUGCGGAAGAGGGAAGCGGAAUUUCCGGUGUAGCGGUGAAAUGCGUAGAUAUCGGAAGGAACACCAGUGGCGAAGGCGACUCUUUGGCCUGUAACUGACACUGAGGCGCGAAAGCGUGGGGAGCAAACAGG
rnacentral:rRNA from 1 species